GCAAGAAUCUUCCGCAAUGGGCGAAAGCCUGACGGAGCCACGCCGCGUGGAGGAAGAAGGCCGUGAGGUUGUAAACUCCUUUUCUGCGUGAGGAAUAAACGCCGGAGGGAAUGCCGGUGUGAUGACGGUAGCGCAGGAAUAAGCCCCGGCCAAUUACGUGCCAGCAGCCGCGGUAAUACGUAUGGGGCGAGCGUUGUUCGGAAUCAUUGGGCGUAAAGGGCGCGCAGGCGGCCAUGCAAGCCUGGUGUGAAAUCCCACAGCUCAACUGUGGGCUCGCGCUGGGAACUGUGUGGCUUGAGUUCCGGAGGGGGAGCUGGAAUUCCUGGUGUAGGGGUGAAAUCUGUAGAUAUCAGGAAGAACACCGGCGGCGAAGGCGAGCUCCUGGCCGUGAACUGACGCUGAGGCGCGAAAGCGUGGGGAGCAAACA
rnacentral:rRNA from 1 species